CUACGGAGGGUGCAAGCGUUACUCGGAAUCACUGGGCGUAAAGCGCGCGCAGGCGGCUUGAUAAGUUAGAUGUGAAAGCCUACGGCUCAACCGUAGAACUGCAUCCAAAACUGUCAAGCUAGAGUCUGUGAGGGGAAGAUGGAAUUAGUUGUGUAGGGGUAAAAUCCGUAGAGAUAACUAGGAAUACCAAAAGCGAAGGCGAUCUUCUGGAACAGUACUGACGCUGAGGCGCGAAAGCGUGGGGAGCAAACAGAAUUAGAAACCCCAGUAGUCC
rnacentral:rRNA from 1 species